rnacentral:rRNA from 1 species
UGGGGAAUAUUGGACAAUGGGGGCAACCCUGAUCCAGCCAUGCCGCGUGCGUGAAGAAGGCCUUAGGGUUGUAAAGCGCUUUCACUGGUGAAGAUGAUGACGGUAGCCAGAGAAGAAGCCCCGGCUAACUCCGUGCCAGCAGCCGCGGUAAUACGGAGGGGGCAAGCGUUGUUCGGAAUUACUGGGCGUAAAGGGCGCGUAGGCGGAACAUCAAGUUAGGGGUGAAAGGCCCGGGCUCAACCUGGGAACGGCCUCUAAAACUGAUGAUCUUGAGUCCGGAAGAGGAUGGCGGAAUUCCCAGUGUAGAGGUGAAAUUCGUAGAUAUUGGGAAGAACACCGGUGGCGAAGGCGGCCAUCUGGUCCGGAACUGACGCUGAGGCGCGAAAGCGUGGGGAGCAAACAGGAUUAGAUACCCCCGUAGUCC